rnacentral:rRNA from 1 species
UAAGGAAUAUUGGUCAAUGGGCGGAAGCCUGAACCAGCCAUGCCGCGUGCAGGAAGACGGCCCUACGGGUUGUAAACUGCUUUUAUACGGGAAUAAACCCCAGUACGUGUAGUGGGCUGAAUGUACUGUAAGAAUAAGGAUCGGCUAACUCCGUGCCAGCAGCCGCGGUAAUACGGAGGAUCCAAGCGUUAUCCGGAUUUAUUGGGUUUAAAGGGUGCGUAGGCGGCUUUUUAAGUCAGGGGUGAAAGACGGUAGCUUAACUAUCGCAGUGCCCUUGAUACUGAAGAGCUUGAAUAUACUUGAGGUAGGCGGAAUGUGACAAGUAGCGGUGAAAUGCAUAGAUAUGUCACAGAACACCAAUUGCGAAGGCAGCUUACUAAGGUAUGAUUGACGCUGAGGCACGAAAGCGUGGGGAUCAAACAGGAUUAGAUACCCGGGUAGUCC